CGAGUCCUACGCAGCUCCGAUCCGUCUAAUGCUGGGGAUUAUCUACACAGAUUAAAUAGAAAAUGGUGAGAUUUCGCAAACUCAGUGUGUAAAAUCAGUCAUAUAUCCAAAUAUCAGAUAAUUCGAGCCUGAACCCUUUACAGAACCGGUGUGAACAUUACCCACUUAGAUACAGAAUCAGAUACGAAUUGGGCCUUAGCCCAUCUCAGAUAUAUCAUGCAUAACAGAGAAGAAUAAUAGUCCUACCCACCAGCCUUUACACACCAAAUCCACCCAACCCUACACACCAUAUGGGGAUAAAAUCGAUCCACCCAUCCCUACACACCAUGCCGUACCGAAAUACGACACAUAAUCGGAUAAUUAUAGCUAUGCUGCCAGAUAUCAGGCUUAGGAGCCUUUCAGAAUACUU
rnacentral:lncRNA from 1 species